CAAGGAAUUUUCCGCAAUGGGCGAAAGCCUGACGGAGCAACGCCGCGUGCAGGAUGACGCUUUUCGGAGUGUAAACUGCUGUUCGGGGGGACGAAGCACUGACGGUACCCCCGGAGGAAGGCCCGGCUAACUACGUGCCAGCAGCCGCGGUAAUACGUAGGGGCCAAGCGUUGUCCGGAGUUACUGGGCGUAAAGCGUGCGCAGGCGGCUCAUUGCGCCCGACGUGAAAGCCCCCGGCUCAACCGGGGAGGGUCGUCGGGGACGGGUGAGCUUGAGGGUGUCAGGGGCUGGUGGAACUCCCGGUGUAGUGGUGAAAUGCGUAGAGAUCGGGAAGAACACCCGUGGCGAAGGCGGCCAGCUGGGACACACCUGACGCUGAGGCACGAAGGCGUGGGGAGCGAACG
rnacentral:rRNA from 1 species